UGGUGGAGUGAUUUGUCUGGUUAAUUCCGUUAACGAACGAGACCUCGACCUGCUAAAUAGUACGAGUUAUUCAUUGGAUAAUCUUGGCACUUCUUAGAGGGACUAUCGGUGGUGUACCCGAUGGAAGUUCGAGGCAAUAACA
rnacentral:rRNA from 1 species